rnacentral:lncRNA from 1 species
CCAAUUCAAGCAAGUGAGGUGGUAGAGUUCAUAAGUGUUCUUCCCUCAUUUGUUAACUAGACUCAAGAAGUCUCACAACCUAAAAUUGGGUAAACGGUGAGUGUGUCUUAGAUCCAAAGUCUAAGCCUCACCUAGGAGACCUCGCCUUUACUUUUUCCAUUUCCAUUCAAGUUUUAUCUUUUGCUUUUACUAAGUUGCGAAUUAGGAGCGCACCUAGAGUUCGAUUUUAGAGUCCCAAUUUGUUGUUUACUUUGUUUUUGCUUUGCUUUUGAGUCUUC